GGAGUUAAGAAAUGUAGGUGUGCUAAUAUCACAUCUAUUUGACGAAGGCUCCAAAGGAAGUCACGGCUAACUCUGUGCCAGCAGCCGCGGUAAUACAGAGGUGGCAAGCGUUGUUCGGAAUUAUUGGGCGUAAAGAGCACGUAGGUGGGUUUGUAAGUCAGAUGUGAAAGCCUCCUGUUCAACGGGAGAAUCGCAUCUGAAACUGCUGAUCUUGAGUGUAGGAGGGGAGAGUG
rnacentral:rRNA from 1 species